AUUGAACGCUGGCGGCAUGCCUUACACAUGCAAGUCGAACGGUAACGCGCCUUCGGGUGCCGCCGAGUGGCGGACGGGUGAGUAAUACAUCGGAACGUGCCCGAUCCUGCGGUAUAACGGGGCGUAAGCUUUGCUAAUACCCCCUACGAUCUAAUGCUGCCAACAGGGGACCGCAAGGCCUUGCGCGGCCGUGGCGGCUGGGGGCAGAGUAGGUAGUUGUGGGGAGAAAGGCCCACCAAGCCCACGCUCCGUAGCUGGUCUGAGAGGAUGAUCAGCCACACUGGAACUGAGACGCGGUACGGACGCCUACGGGAGGCAGCAGUGGGGAAUAUUGGACAAUGGGCGCAAGCCUGAUCCAGCCAUACCGCGUGGGUGAAGAAGGCCUUCGGGUUGUAAAGCCCUUUUGUUGGGAAAGAAAAGCAGCAGGUUAAUACCCCGCUGUUCUGACGGUACCCAAAGAAUAAGCACCGGCUAACUUCGUG
rnacentral:rRNA from 1 species